GUUUCCGCGCCCACUGCUCCCGCCCUGACCCACUGGGACGGGCGGGGCGGAGCCCAAAGAAAACUCAGUGCCUGCGCCCUCUGCUGGAGAAGAGAGGAAUGGAAGGAAAGAGGUGGGGUCCAAGGUAGAACCUGCGCACUAGGCAGAAGAGAAGCCUGGCCGUCCAUGUUCGUUGUGGCCUGGGCUUGUUGCCUCCGGGAGUUGAGUCAUGGCUGUGCUCGGAUUAAGACGGAACCCUCGCUGCUGGUCAUCUGGAGGCUGCCAUCUCUCUCCUAAGCAUGAGAAAGGUAGAGGAUUUGCCAGAAACCUGAGCACCCUUCAGGAUACUUUGACACUGACUCCUGUGUCAAUUUCCUGGGAGAAGCACAGCUGCCAUCUCAAAGAACAAAAGACAGCAACCCAAUCUCUGAAAGCCUGUCCCAUCCCCCAGGCAGGGGUCAGCGGAGCCAUCCAUAUCUGCAGAGAGCAGUCCCCAUACCCUGACCUCUCCAUACCUCUAACCUCCCGUCUGUCCAUCAGAGAAGUGGCCAAGGGCCCAGCAGCUCUUUUCCCCAGAGGGAAACAAAGAGAGGAACUGAAAAC
rnacentral:lncRNA from 1 species